GUCCUGUGACCCUGCCAAAUCCCCCUCUGUGAGAAACACCCAAGAAUGAUCAAUAAAAAAUAAAUAAAUUAAAAAAAAAAAAAAAAGGUUACACGCUAAAAAAAAAAAAAAAAUUAGCCAGGUGUGGUGGUGUGCACUUGUAGUCCCAGCUAUUGGGGGUGGGGCUGAGGUUAGAGGUUUUUUAGAGCCCAGGAUGUGCAGUUUGCAGUGAGACCUGUCUCAAAACAACAAUCAAAAACCAUUUCCAAGAAAUAAAUGCAAUAAAUAUUGUGAUGUUCCCUCUCUGUGUGUGUAUUCUUACCACCUACUUGUGUGCUUAUUUAUUGAAAUAAAAUUGCAGACAUAAAUUUUUCCCUGUUGGUUUUUUGUUUGUUUGUUUGUUUGCUUUCUGAGACAGAGUCUUGCUCUGUUGUCCAGGCUGGAGUGCAAUGGCACGAUCUCGGCUCACUGCAACCUCCGCCUCCCGGGCUCAAGCAAUUCUCCUGCCUCAUCCUCCCAAGUAGUUGGGAUUACAGGUGCCCAUCACCCUGCCUGGCUAUUCUUUUGUGUUUUUAGUAGAGAUGGGAUUUCACCAUGUUGGCCAGGCUGGUUUUGAACUCCUGACCUCAAAGAUCCGCCUGCCUCAGCCUCCCAAAGUGCUGGGAUUACAGGUGUGAGCCACUGCGCCUGGCCCCUAUUGUUUAAAUAUAGUAAUUUUAUGAGAACUUACCUAUUUUAUUUUUGUAUCUAUUAAAAACAUCAUUUUUGGCUGGGCAUGGUGGUUCACACCUGUAAUCAUAGCACUUUGGGAGGUAGAGAUGGGUGGAUCACUUGAGGCCAGGAGUUCGAGACUAGUCUGAGCAACAUGAUGAAACCCUGUUUAUACAAAAAAAUACGAAAAUUAGCUGGGCAUGGUGGCGUGCAUCUGUAGUCCCAGCUACUUGGGAGGCUGAGGUGGAGAAUCACCUAAGCCUGGGGAGGUGGAGGUUGCAGUGAGCUACAAUUGCACCACUGCACUCCAGCCUGCGCAACAGAGUGAGACCCACUCUCCAAAAAAAAAAAAAAAUUUUUUUCAAAGUAAAAAAAGUAAUCUAAUAGAGGAAAAUGCUCCAGUCAGAGUGGCUUGGAAUCUGUUUUAGUUCAUAAAACUAGGGGCUGAGGUGAGAAAAAGAGGCUGAAACAAGCUGCUGCCCUCUGCUGCCUGGGACAGCAGCUUUUGUAACUCUCAUACCCAGGAACCAGGCCAACAUAGACAUGGCCACAAAACCAGGAUCUGUGCCAAACAUACAGGGCCAUGACUGAAUUCACAAAAACCCUAGAUAAGGAUGGUGAGAGCAGUGAGAAAGAAGGUUAUAGCAAAACAAAACAGAACGAAAUUGCAAAACUUCCCACUCUAAGAUGAACCUGCAAAUAAAUUUCCUCAACUUAUUAAAAUUAAUUGUAGACAGGACAAAUUCCCCAACACCAACACCAAAAAAAAAAAAAAAAAAAAAACCAACCAAAAAAACAAACAAAGUAAAAUCCUCCAUAAUUAGGAGGGUAAUUCACUAUAGAUAAAUGCAAAGAAAAGAACAAUCUUUAAAAGACCUUUUUCACAGAUACUCUCAAUCUAAGAAAAAAACAACAGAAAUAAAAGGCUUCAACACAAGUAUGCCUUGGAUCCUCAAAGGGAUAAAGGAAGAAUAACAAAUUGAAUAAACGUAAAAAGAGAUCUCGCGCAUUGGCUCAUGCCUAUAAUCCCAGCACUGUGGGAGGCCAAGACAGGAGGAUCAUUUGAGGCCAGGGGUUUGAGAACAGCCUGGGAGAUAUAGUGAGACCCUGUCUCUAAAUAAAUAAAGAAAGAAAGAACACAUAUUCUUUGAUUCAUCUCCCUCUGGGAAGUACAGCUCAAUUUCUCUCUUAUUCAGUAUUGCCUGGACUCAGUGACUCACUUCUAAUGCAUAGAAUUUGGAAAGGGAAAAAUAGCAACUGCACAAUGGAGAUACCACCUUAACCAAGUGAUCAAGUUAACCUAAAUAAUAAUGUCAGACUGAUAUCUUAUAACCCCUUAUAUGAUGUGAUGAGAAGGGCACUUUACCUCUGUAGCAUUCUUCCCCAAAAUCUAUAACCCUAGCUUAACAGAAAACAUCAGAUAAAAACCUAAAUUGAGGAACAUUAGACAAAAUAACCUGCCCAGUACUCUUUAAAAAUGCCAAGGUCAUGAGACAAUGAAAGACUGAGUACAGUCACGGAUUUGAGACUUGACAACUAGAUUCAACAUGGUGUCUUGGAUUGGAUUCUGAACAGAAAAAAAGAAAAAAGAAAAAUUAAGGAAAUCUGAAUAAAGUUAAUAGUAUUAUAUCAAGUUUAGUUU
rnacentral:lncRNA from 1 species